AGGAGAAGGGUUUAGAUGGAGUGAGAGAAAAGAGAGUUUAGAUAGGAUGAAUGGAGAAAGGAGGAGAGAGGGACAAGACUGUGGAUGAUACAUUCAGGGAUUGAUGGAUGUUUGGAGAGAUGGGGGCUGUUGCUGUAUUGUAUAUACCCCUGUCCAGAAAACUACUACCAUCCCUUAGACCCUGCCUGGUACACAUCCAGAAAACUACUACCAUCCCUUAGGCCCUGCCUGGUACACAUCCAGAAAACUACUACCAUCCCCUUAGGGCCUGCCUGGUACACAUCCAGAAAACUACUACCAUCCCUUAGGCCCUGCCUGGUACACAUCCAGAAAACUACUACCAUCCCUUAGGCCCUGCCUGGUACACAUCCAGAAAACUACUACCAUCCCUUAGGUCCUGCCUGGUACACAUCCAGAAAACUACUACCAUCCCUUAGGCCCUGCCUGGUACACAUCCAGAAAACUACUACCAUCCCUUAGGCCCUGCCUGGUACACAUCCAGGAAACUACUACCAUCCCUUAGGCCCUGCCUGGUACACAUCCAGAAAACUACUACCAUCCCUUAGGCCCUGCCUGGUACACAUCCAGAAAACUACUACCAUCCAUUAGGUCCUGCCUGGUACACAUCCAGAAAACUACUACCAUCCAUUAGGUCCUGCCUGGUACACAUCCAGAAAACUACUACCAUCCCUUAGGUCCUGCCUGGUACACAUCCAGAAAACUACUACCAUCCCUUAGGUCCUGCCUGGUACACAUCCAGAAAACUACUACCAUCCAUUAGGUCCUGCCUGGUACACAUCCAGAAAACUACUACCAUCCCUUAGGUCCUGCCUGGUACACAUCCAGAAAACUACUACCAUCCCUUAGGUCCUGCCUGGUACACAUCCAGAAAACUACUACCAUCCCUUAGGUCCUGCCUGGUACACAUCCAGAAAACUACUACCAUCCCUUAGGUCCUGCCUGGUACACAUCCAGAAAACUACUACCAUCCCUUAGGUCCUGCCUGGUACACAUCCAGAAAACUACUACCAUCCCUUAGGUCCUGCCUGGUACACAUCCAGAAAACUACUACCAUCCCUUAGGUCCUGCCUGGUACACAUCCAGAAAACUACUACCAUCCAUUAGGCCCUGCCUGGUACACAUCCAGAAAACUACUACCAUCCCUUAGGCCCUGCCUGGUACACAUCCAGAAAACUACUACCAUCCCUUAGGUCCUGCCUGGUACACAUCCAGAAAACUACUACCAUCCCUUAGGUCCUGCCUGGUACACAUCCAGAAAACUACUACCAUCCAUUAGGUCCUGCCUGGUACACAUCCAGAAAACUACUACCAUCCCUUAGGCCCUGCCUGGUACACAUCCAGAAAACUACUACCAUCCCUUAGGCCCUGCCUGGUACACAUCCAGAAAACUACUACCAUCCCUUAGGUCCUGCCUGGUACACAUCCAGAAAACUACUACCAUCCCUUAGGUCCUGCCUGGUACACAUCCAGAAAACUACUACCAUCCCUUAAGCCCUGCCUGGUACACAUCCAGAAAACUACUACCAUCCCUUAGGUCCUGCCUGGUACACAUCCAGAAAACUACUACCAUCCCUUAGGCCCUGCCUGGUACACAUCCAGAAAACUACUACCAUCCAUUAGGUCCUGCCUGGUACACAUCCAGAAAACUACUACCAUCCAUUAGGUCCUGCCUGGUACACAUCCAGAAAACUGCUGCAUAGACAUAAGACAUGUUGACAUAAACUAUUAUUAUGCGGGAGACCAUGUCAGCUCUUACAAAAGACUACACAGACACAUAUGCACUCACGAACAAACAUCAUACAGCUUACACACUUUAUCUCCCCAUCAGCAGCAUGCUUAGUGAAGACUGGUUCAGGAGCUGCAGCACAGACAUUAAAUGGAUUAUUCUACCAACAGACAGACAGAGACAGACAGAGACAGACUUAGAUAGUGUGAACGGGGGGAGGAGGGUGAGAGAUGGAAAUAGAAAGAGAGCAAACUGUAUGUGUGAGAGAGAGAAAGAGCUGACAGAGAACACAUGCAUAAGAGAGAGAAAGAUUGAGAGGCGAAAGGGAGGGGGUUAAGAGAGUGUGACUUGGGAAAAAUGCCAAGAAAAAUCUCUGUCCCAAGCGGCCAACCUCCACAUUUUCCCUUUAAAAGAGAGCGGGAUGAGUCAUAGGACAGUGUAUAGGAUAUCAGAUAGACAAAUACAUACAGUAUUGUGCCAAACAUACAUACACAGCCAGGACACACACGCACACACAUUAAAAAGCGCAGUACAGUUCAAACAGGCAGACAGAAACAGACAGGGUCAAAAACAGUAGCGGACACACAACCACAGGCGCAGGUGCAGGUGCACAGAAACAUGCAUGGACAUACGUGCGCA